GCCCCCGUAGCCCAAUCGGCAGAGGCAGACGACUUAAAAUCGUUCCAGGUGUGGGUUCAAGUCCCACCGGGGGUA
rnacentral:tRNA from 1 species